rnacentral:rRNA from 1 species
GACGAACGCUGGCGGCGUGCUUAACACAUGCAAGUCGAACGGAAAGGCCCUGCUUGCAGGGUACUCGAGUGGCGAACGGGUGGGUAACACGUGGGUGAUCUGCCCUCCACUUCGGGAUAAGCCUUGGAAACGGGGUCUAAUAGCGGAUAGGAGCCACGUUUUGCGGGAUGGUUGGAAAGUUUUUUCGGUGUAGGGCGAGUGCGCGGCCUAUUGUCUUGUUGGUUGGGUGAUGGCCUACCAGGGCGGCGACGGGUGGCCGGCCUGUGGGGGUGAGCGGCCACACUGAGACUGACGGGCGGCCGCGCCGCCUACGGGUGGAAGCAGUGCGGAAUAUUGAUCAAUGGGCACAGGCCUGAUGCAGCAGCGCCGCGUGGGGGAUGACGCCCUUCGGGUUGUAGAAAACUUGCGCGAGGAACGAAGCUUUUUGUGACGGUACCUAGAUAAGAAGCACCGGCUAACUACGUG